CCUUAAAGAACCUGCCUUUGUAGUGCUCACACAGAUUGUCUGAUGAACGUAAAGAAGCAAGGCGUCUUGCGAUUGAGACUUCAGUGUCCCCUUCGUCUAGAGGCCCAGGACACCGCCCUUUCACGGCGGUAACAGGGGUUCGAAUCCCCUAGGGGACGCCACUUGCUGGUUCGUGGGUGAAAGACGCGUGCCGAUGUAUCUCAAAACUCAUCUUCGGGUGACGUUUGAGAUAUUUGCUCUUUAAAAAUCUGGAUCAAGCUGAAAAUUGAAACGACACACAGUUAAUGUGUGUUCGAGUCUCUCAAAUUUUCGCAAUCAGAAGUGAAACAUCUUCGGGUUGUGA
rnacentral:misc_RNA from 1 species